rnacentral:rRNA from 1 species
GGCCUGCGGAGGGAUCAUUACUGAGUUUACGCUCUAUAACCCUUUGUGAACAUACCUAUAACUGUUGCUUCGGCGGGUAGGGUCUCCGCGACCCUCCCGGCCUCCCGCCUCCGGGCGGGUCGGCGCCCGCCGGAGGAUAACCAAACUCUGAUUUAACGACGUUUCUUCUGAGUGGUACAAGCAAAUAAUCAAAACUUUUAACAACGGAUCUCUUGGUUCUGGCAUCGAUGAAGAACGCAGCGAAAUGCGAUAAGUAAUGUGAAUUGCAGAAUUCAGUGAAUCAUCGAAUCUUUGAACGCACAUUGCGCCCGCCAGCAUUCUGGCGGGCAUGCCUGUUCGAGCGUCAUUUCAACCCUCAAGCUCUGCUUGGUGUUGGGGCCCUACAGCUGAUGUAGGCCCUCAAAGGUAGUGGCGGACCCUCCCGGAGCCUCCUUUGCGUAGUAACUUUACGUCUCGCACUGGGAUCCGGAGGGACUCUUGCCGUAAAACCCCCAAUUCUCCAAAGGUUGACCUCGGAUCAGGUAGGAAUACCCGCUGAACUUAAGCAUAUCAUA